UACAGAGGUCUCAAGCGUUGUUCGGAUUCAUUGGGCGUAAAGGGUGCGUAGGCGGCGCGGUAAGUCGGGUGUGAAAUCUCGGAGCUUAACUUCGAAACUGCAUUCGAUACUGCCGUGCUUGAGGACUGGAGAGGAGACUGGAAUUUACGGUGUAGCGGUGAAAUGCGUAGAUAUCGUAAGGAAGACCAGUGGCGAAGGCGGGGUCUCUGGACAGUUCCUGACGCUGAGGCACGAAGGCCAGGGGAGCAAACGGG
rnacentral:rRNA from 1 species